UGGGGAGCGCGGCCUCCCCCAGGGCAGUCUGAGUCUCCCAAAGGAUCCCAUUCCCCUCCCCUCAAGGACAGGCUUGUGUCCCAGGGGCUCUGAGGCUGGGCUGGUGAGGAGUAGGGGGUUCAAUGCAGAGGGAGAUGUUGGGGCCCAGCUUGGAGAAGGAGGAGCCAGGCUGAUAUGGGGGGCAGGGCAGCCCCAGCCCUCACCUCCCUGUCCUGACCCAGAAGGCCCUGAGGACCAGCCCUCAACCCCUCAGGGUCAGGCCCCCAGAGUGGGGAGUGAGGGGCUCUGAGAGGAAGGUGGACGGGGUCCAGGGAAGGCAGAGGUGGGUUCUGUCCUAGGUUCAGGCCCCUCUGAAGAUGGUGACGUGGACAGGCCCCUCCCCUGCCUGGGCCUCAGUUUCUCCAAAUGUAAAGGAGAGAGGCCUGCAGGUGGGAACGUUCCUUUCAGCUCUGACUCCCAGCUAUGACCUCCUGGGAGAGGAGGCCUCCCAGGGAAGCCUCCCAGGACCCAAUUCCGCAGGGGCCUGUCCUGUCCCAUCUGCAGCAGUGGCGGUGACCUGGGGCAGGGGAGGGGAGCAGGGCUGUGGUUCAGCACGGUCAGGCUCUUUCCCUGCAUCUCUGGGGCGCAGCUCUGGUGCUGGGAACAAGGGCUGCGGGUCAGACUCCCAGGUUCCCUUCCCAGCUCUGCCGCUUCCUGGCUGGGGGUCCUGGGGCAGGCGAUUCCCCUCUCUGAGCCUCAGUUUGUGCAUCUGUGAAAUGGGUUGUGGGGCCGGCAAUUCCAUGUUGCACAACUGCUUGUAAGGGUUGGAGGUUUUGAAGGAAAGACCCGGCACGCGCCUGCACACAGUAGGUGCUCACAUCAAUGACGUCAUUCCCACUCCUGACGUUAUCAUGCUCAAGGUCUGGGAAGAUACCUGGAGGCUUUGACUGGGGUCUCGGCAGCCUUCGUCCUGCUGUUCUUCCUCCUCCUCUUCCUCCUCGUCCGACGUCAACGUCAGAGCAAACACAAGAUAUCGGACCAGAGAAAGACUGAUUUCCAGCGUCCUGCAGGGGCUGCGGAGCCAGAGCCCAAGGACAGGGGCCUGCUGAGGAGGUCCAGCCCGGCUGCUGCCGUGAAGGACACACAGCCUGAGGACGGGGUGGAGCUGGACA